rnacentral:rRNA from 1 species
UCGAGAAUCUUCGUCAAUGGGCGAAAGCCUGAACGAGCGACGCCGCGUGCGGGAUGAAGGCCCUUGGGUUGUAAACCGCUGUCGAGGGGGAUGAAGGCUUCAAGGUACUCCUUGAAGUUUGACAGAGCCCUGGAGGAAGCACGGGCUAAGUUCGUGCCAGCAGCCGCGGUAAUACGAACUGUGCGAACGUUAUUCGGAAUCACUGGGCUUACAGGGUGCGUAGGCGGCCCGACAAGUCAGGUGUGAAAGCCCUCGGCUCAACCGAGGAACUGCGCUUGAAACUGUUGGGCUCGAGUCAGCUAGGGGUGCACGGAACUUCCAGUGGAGCGGUGAAAUGUGUUGAUAUUGGAAGGAACACCGGAGGCGAAAGUGGUGCACUGGGGCUGGUCUGACGCUGAGGCACGAAAGCCAGGGGAGCGAACGG